UACAGAGGUCCCAAGCGUUGUUCGGAUUCACUGGGCGUAAAGGGUGCGUAGGCGGUCGGGUAAGUCUGAUGUGAAAUCUCACAGCUUAACUGUGAAACUGCAUUGGAUACUAUCCGGCUAGAGGAAUGGAGGGGAGACUGGAAUACAUGGUGUAGCAGUGAAAUGCGUAGAUAUCAAGUGGAACACCAGUGGCGAAGGCGAGUCUCUGGACAUUUCCUGACGCUGAGGCACGAAAGCCAGGGGAGCAAACGGG
rnacentral:rRNA from 1 species